rnacentral:rRNA from 1 species
GACGAAGGGGGCUAGCGUUGUUCGGAAUUACUGGGCGUAAAGCGCGUGUAGGCGGUUGUUUAAGUCAGGUGUGAAAGCCUUGAGCUCAACUCAAGAAAUGCACUUGAUACUGGAUGACUAGAGGACCGGAGAGGAUAGUGGAAUUCCCAGUGUAGUGGUGAAAUUCGUAGAUAUUCGGAAGAACACCAGUGGCGAAGGCGACUUACUGGACACAUAUUGACGCUGAGGUGCGAAAGCGUGGGGAGCAAACAGG